GACGAACGCUGGCGGCGUGCCUAAUACAUGCAAGUAGAACGAGUUGCGAACGGGUGAGUAACGCGUGGUAACCUGCCUCAUAGAGGGGGAUAACUAUUGGAAACGAUAGCUAAUACCGCAUACUGUGAGAUGGACCUGCGUUGUAUUAGCUAGUCGGUGGGGUAACGGCUCACCUAGGCGACGAUCCCUAGAUGGUCUGAGGGGGUGACCGGCCCCACUGGAACUGAGCCACUGACCAGACUCCUACGGGAGGCAGCAGUGUGGAAUAUUGCACAAGGGUCGCAAGCCUGAUGCAGCCAUGCCGCGUGGAUGAAGAAGGCCUUCGGGUUGUAAAGUACUUUCAUCGAUGAGGCGUUACUCGCAGAAGAAGCACCGGCUAACUCCGUGCCAGCAGCCGCGGUAAUAC
rnacentral:rRNA from 1 species